rnacentral:misc_RNA from 1 species
UGAUUAGUUCCUUUUUUCAGAAAUAAUGGUGCCCCUGAAUGAAUAAAAGUGUGGUACAGCUGCAAAGUAAGGAGGGGGGGCUCGGAGUCCUGGUGCCCCACCUCCUCACCUCUGGGAUGAACCAGGCAGAUGUUAAGAUAAUUACAGCAGAUGGAUUCAGAUUUAUGGCGCAUAGUUGUGUUCUGAGUGCCAGUCCUAUUCUCAGCUCCUGCUUGAGAUUAGUAGAUGUUAGAGUUGGAGGAGAUUCUUUAAUUCAUCUGGAUUUCUCUCAGACUACAGUCAGAGCACUUAUCCACUUUCUAUACACAGGGUCGGUUCAAAUGAAAAGAAGCUUUAAAUCUGAAUUCAACAAGCUGUGUGAAACUUUAAGAUUGAAUCCUUCUGUUACCGACGAUAGCUUGCUGUCGGAGCAGGAUGAGGAUCAGUCGGAGAGCUUGCGGCAGGAGCUGGUUCAGGAUCGAUCCGAGAGCUUACUACCGGAGCAGGUACAGGAUCGGUCGGAGAGCUUGCUACCGGAUCAAAUUCAGGAUCGUUCCGAGAAAGCUCCGGCUCUUUCUAGCUCCGAACUAGAUUCAGUUCUGUCCAAGAGUUCAAUCAAUGAAAACAUGAUUGUGAAUCCUGAAGUAAACAAUGAAGAUGUUACCGACGGAGCUAAUCUUGAUACCCGGAAGAAUGAUAAUGAUCUUGAUAAAUCCAUAUCUCCAAGUUGUAAUAAUGUGGAGAAGAGUGAACCCGCGGUGUGUGAUAAGGAAACCAACGGUGAUAAAAUAAUGGUUGAGUCAACGGAUAAACUUGAUAAACUUGAACUCAGUCCUGGUGAAGUUAAUGUAAUCUCUACUGAGCCUGGAGUACCUGACACAUUCUACUGUGAUAUAUGUUUUAAAAUAUUUACUAGUAACUCAGCUUGGGAUAAACACUUGGAAGCCGAGCACAUUGUCGGGGGUGCAGAGCAUAUAGCUGAGGGGGACCAGGAUAGAUCUUACGACGAAACCCCAGAGUCCAUCUCAGUUUUCCUGGAUGAAUUGAAUAAAGUUCACGGGAGCAAGGAGGAAGUUAAAGAUGCUACAGAGAAUAUUAUUGAAGAGGGAACGCAUACGGAAGAACAAUCUGAUUCACCAGUAUUUACAAACGACAAUGAAGAGUCUGCUGAAGAUGAAAAUGAUCUAUAUCCUGAGCUGGAGAAUGAUCAAAACUCCUCCCUGGAUAGUGUGGAUAGAUCAGAUAACGAGUUCAAGAUGCCGGAAAACUUUGAUAUUCCGCAGGAUUAUAUCCAGGAAAUUGUUCCCAAGAAAAGUAUUAGUCUCCAGCCUGAGGAACUGCUGGCCAACCUCGGAGUUCCAACCAAUCCUAUUUCUUUAAACUCGUCAAGUUUAACAACGAAAUCUUCCACAGCUAAACCUGUUGAGCCUGCGCGAGUUUCUCCUGAUCUGAUAACCUACUACUCCAGAGAUACAAACUCGAAAUCAACUAAAACCACAAAGCGUCAUCUCUCCGGAGAUUCUAAACGGAACCGGAAACAUCAGAGUUAUGUGACAGAACUAUUUGGAGAAUGUUCUCAGGAGAGUGAAGGUCCUAAUCCUGACACUCCUAAGGUUCGAAAGGAGUUUGAGAGCUGUGGAGGAACUGCUACAAUUCUCACAGAAAACCCUAAAUCUGAAAAUGCUUUAGAAAAUGUAGAUCUGAGUAUCCUUGAUGAGCUGCAGGAUAAGGUUGCUAGGGUUAAGAAAAGGUUGGUUGAGUCCGACUCCGAUAAUCCGAUCUACAAGGAGAAAAGAAAGAAAAAGAAGAAAAAGCGUCAAAAAGAAAAAGAUGAGUUUAAUCGGUCCAACAAAUCAGCAGAGCAUAGUCAUUCACCCAGUCCAGCUAAACAUCCCACUUCGAGUCAGUCUAAACUAUCAAGCUCGAGUCAGUCUAAACAUUCGAGUUCGAAAUCCUCUAGUUCGAGUCUACCUAAAUCAUCCAGUUCAAGUCAUACGAAGUCUAAAUCAAGUCCUGUUUCAAAAGUCUUGGAUUUGAAACCUAAGGCUCCCUUCAAAUUUGAGGAUGAUAAUGAUUGGCUUGUACCGGACGACUAUGAGGAUUCCAAUUCUGAUCGUGAAAGGAGUAGAAAAGAUAAAAAGAAGAAGAAGAAGAAGAGGCUGCGAGCGGAAAGUGAUGAAGAUGUCUCCAGUGAAGAGGAUGAGAGAAGAAAACGUUUGGACGAACGAAAGCAGAAGAGAGGUGGAGACGUCCUGGCGUGGAUGACCAAGAAAGCCAAGAUCAGUGUCAAGUUCCAGGACGAAGGAAAGGAGAAGAUUCUUGAUAAAGCUAUUUAUAUAAUGAAACUGAUCGGGUCGGAUUCAGACGGCUCAAGUGACAAUGAUAAGAAAGUGCAUAGAAAAAGGGACUUGCCAAAUUCUGACGCGGAGGAGAAAAGAAGUCGCUCCUCAUCUCCUCACAUUAUUAAGAAAAGAAAGAAGAAGAAAACGAAGAGAACUCUGUCUGAAAAACAAGAAAAAUGCAUUGAACCGGAGACGGAAACCAAAAAGUUUAAAAGAUCUGUUUCAGUUCAGGAGGAGAAGCGGAGUUUUUUACCAGUCCUCAAUCGGAGUAUUUCAACUUGUGAGGCUGUUGCCUCGUUUAAGAUUCCAAAAUUAGCAAAACCUAAACCUUCAAGUGAAACCUAACCCUGCAACCAACAAAUCUUCCGAUAAGACCGAAAUCUUGAACCUCGGGUAAAAGUUAAAAACAAUUUUACAAAAAAGAACUUUUUAUAUCUGACUGAGGAUCAAGUUUUCAAACAUCACAGCCAAGCUUCCAGUUCAGCCUAAAUCUAGUAAAUCAUGUAAAAGUAUUAUCUUAUAUCAACACAUUCACUAGUUUUGAUCCCACGGUUCGAAAUGAUCCCUUUAAAUCUUAAGCAUCCUUAUUUUCAGUGAUAAAAUUAUUAAUGUAAAAUUUCAUUCUAGUUUUUAAUAUUUUGUGUAUGAAAGUAUUCCACUAGAUUUUGCCUUAUAUUUUCUUGUCUUGUUGGUAUAUAAGUAAGCAAAGAAACCAGUGAUUGUUAAUUAGAAAGACGACUAUUGAAAAUUUUAUUUUUAAAAAUUUGUGAUAAAACUUUUGAAGAGUAGGUUUUAACUAGUGGUAGAAUGGAAAGUUACGCACUUGUGUAGACCGUUUUAUGGUAAAAUAUUAUUUUUUAUAAAUUUUCCAUUAAAAUAUUGAAUGCGAAAUAUAAAUUAUGUUCCUUAA